ensembl:snRNA U4 U4 spliceosomal RNA
AGCUUUGCACAGUGACAGCAUCAUUGCCAAUGAGGUUUGUCUAAGGUGUGAUUAUUGCUAAUCAAAAACCUUUUUCUAAUACCUUGUCAUGACAACUUAAAAUAUACUCUGAAUUUUCAGUCUUUAUGAAGA